rnacentral:rRNA from 1 species
GGCGUUAAGUUGCAGGGUAUAGACCCGAAACCCGGUGAUCUAGCCAUGGGCAGGUUGAAGGUUGGGUAACACUAACUGGAGGACCGAACCGACUAAUGUUGAAAAAUUAGCGGAUGACUUGUGGCUGGGGGUGAAAGGCCAAUCAAACCGGGAGAUAGCUGGUUCUCCCCGAAAGCUAUUUAGGUAGCGCCUCGUGAACUCAUCUUCGGGGGUAGAGCACUGUUUCGGCUAGGGGGUCAUCCCGACUUACCAACCCGAUGCAAACUACGAAUACCGAAGAAUGUUAUCACGGGAGACACACGGCGGGUGCUAACGUCCGUCGUGAAGAGGGAAACAACCCAGACCGCCAGCUAAGGUCCCAAAGUCAUGGUUAAGUGGGAAACGAUGUGGGAAGGCACAGACAGCCAGGAUGUUGGCUUAGAAGCAGCCAUCAUUUAAAGAAAGCGUAAUAGCUCACUGGUCGAGUCGGCCUGCGCGGAAGAUGUAACGGGGCUAAACCAUG